rnacentral:misc_RNA from 1 species
AAAGUGCGAUAAGCAAUGCGAAUUGCAGAAUUCCGCGAAUCAUCAGAUUCUUGAACGCAAAUGGCGCUGGAGGGAUCUCCUUCCAGCAUGUCUGUUUCAGUGUCUGAAAACUUCCAACAAAGGUAUAUGUAUAUUUAUAUAUGUGUACCUAACUUGAUGUGUUUGACCUGAAAGUAGGAUUCUUCCCCACUUUCUUAGUCUCACACUAAUUCAUGUAUGCACGGAUAUUUGGGUCCAUCGAAUUGGUCAUCGAUUUAUUCGGUGAUUUCGAUGCGAUUAAAAUUACUCAAUUAUCCAAUUAGUGCAUAGAAAUCACAUUCAAAACACUUAAUCUUUUUUGCAUCUGAAAUCAGGCAAGAACACCCGCUGAACUUAA